rnacentral:rRNA from 1 species
UACGUAGGGGGCUAGCGUUGUCCGGAAUUACUGGGCGUAAAGGGCGCGUAGGCGGCCUGUUAAGUCGGACGUGAAAUCCCCGGGCUCAACCCGGGAACUGCGUCCGAUACUGGCAGGCUUGAAUCCGGGAGAGGGAUGCGGAAUUCCAGGUGUAGCGGUGAAAUGCGUAGAUAUCUGGAGGAACACCGGUGGCGAAGGCGGCAUCCUGGACCGGCAUUGACGCUGAGGCGCGAAAGCCAGGGGAGCAAACGGG